rnacentral:misc_RNA from 1 species
GAUGAAGAACGCAGCGAAAUGCGAUAAGUAAUGCGAAUUGCGGAAUUCAGUGAAUCAUCGAAUCUUUGAACGCACAUUGCGCCCGCUAGUAUUCUGGCGGGCAUGCCUGUCUGAGCGUCAUUUCAACCCUCGCCCCCGGCUUUUGCUGGGAGCGGUGUUGGGGAUCGGCCGCCCGUCACUGGGAGGCCGGCCCCGAAAUAGAGUGGCGACCACGCCGUGUGCUCCUCUGCGUAGUAGUAAAUCACCUCGCAGGCGGACAGCGGUGCGGCCUGCCGUAAAACCCCCAACUCUUUCUGGUUGACCUCAGAUCAGGUAGGAAUACCCGCUGAACUUAAGCAUAUCAAUAAGCGGAGGA